GCAGGUCAGUCGUCUCAGCAGAGUUCAGUGCCAGAUUACACUGCAGCGUUAGCAGAAUACUACAGACAGCAGCCCUACCUGUGGAACCCUGCCCAGAUACAGGAUCACUAGAGGCUCCUCCCUCACUGGUGCAGGUCUUGGAUCGUCGUCAAUGGCAACCGAAAUCGGGGUUUCCUAGCAACGCUCCGCCGCUUCCUCCUUCCUUUUGUAGAGAAAAACUAAGGAUUAACUGAAAAUCACGAACUCUUUUCUUUCUGUUUUUUAACCUUACAAAGUUGAUAUUUUGUCGGGCAGAUUUUUUUGGACUAGCCUCUGGUCUCUCCAGUGUAGACCUGGUUUUUCUUUUUGUUUUUUUAUCAAACUUGAACUUAAAGAUGUAUCAGUGUGGCUUUGAACAAAAAAAAA